AUUGAACGCUGGCGGCAGGCCUAACACAUGCAAGUCGAGCGGAUGAAGGGAGCUUGCUCCUGGAUUCAGCGGCGGACGGGUGAGUAAUGCCUAGGAAUCUGCCUGGUAGUGGGGGAUAACGUCCGGAAACGGGCGCUAAUACCGCAUACGUCCUGAGGGAGAAAGUGGGGGAUCUUCGGACCUCACGCUAUCAGAUGAGCCUAGGUCGGAUUAGCUAGUUGGUGGGGUAAAGGCCUACCAAGGCGACGAUCCGUAACUGGUCUGAGAGGAUGAUCAGCCACACUGGAACUGAGACACGGUCCAGACUCCUACGGGAGGCAGCAGUGGGGAAUAUUGGACAAUGGGCGCAAGCCUGAUCCAGCCAUACCGCGUGGGUGAAGAAGGCCUUCGGGUUGUAAAGCUCUUUUGUUGGGAAAGAAAAGCAGCAGGUUAAUACCCCGCUGUUCUGACGGUACCCAAAGAAUAAGCACCGGCUAACUUCGUG
rnacentral:rRNA from 1 species